CCUUCAUUUGGCAUCCCUUCCCAAUUUCCAACCCCAACACCCUUCUAAGUUAAUAGCUAUAUACCCUACCUCGUGGAGUAGAGUUCGUAUACUUAUCAAUCCUGAAACUCAAAUGGAAGAGUGACAACUGACAAACUCAAAAAAUGGCGGGUGCGGCACGCUUACUCCCAUGGACGACACCAUUUGUUACUCCAGUUGGCCUAUUUUGGCGGCGUAGUCACUCCUCCCUGUUUUCUUUUCCUUCCUUUCAAUGUUCCAAAUUUUCUAUUGUUUCAUUCUGCUCCGCAAUCACACCUGAAAUCACCCUUCCACAGUCUCCAAAGCAGGGGACGUUAAUGCCCGGCUUGUAUCUUGUUGGUACUCCCAUUGGUAAUCUUGAAGAUAUCACUUUGCGUGCUUUGCGGGUGUUGAAAUCUGCUGACUUAAUACUUUCGGAGGACACUAGACAUUCCGGAAAGUUGCUUCAGUAUUAUGGAAUUAAAACACCCCUUUUGAGUUAUCACAAAUUUAACGAAUUCCAGAGAGGAGUCACUAUUUUGAAACGUUUACAAGAGGGUGAAAUAGUUGCUAUGAUUAGUGAUGCAGGGAUGCCGGGCAUUAGUGAUCCUGGAACUGAAUUGGUGAAGUUGUGUGUCGAAAAAAGUGUUGUCGUGGUGCCCAUCCCUGGACCUUCGGCGGUGCUUUCUGCUCUUGCUGCCUCAGGACUACCAACUGAUGAUUUCACCUUUGUUGGAUUUCUUCCUAAGCAUGCUGGGUCUAGGAGACAAAGGCUCUUUCUCUGUGCUAGUCAGAGUGCAACACAAAUUUUCUUUGUUCCUCCACACAAACUGCAUCAAUUUCUUGAAGAAACGUCUUCAGUUUUUGGUGAUUCAAGGAGAUGUGUCAUUGCCCGUGAAAUGACCAAAAUCCAUGAAGAGUUUUGGCGUGGCACUUUGCAUGAAGCUAAGGAGGCAUUUGUAUCACGGAAACCAAGGGGAGAAAUGACACUUUUAAUAGAGGGGAAGGUUGAUUGCGUUGAUGAAGUUCCCCAGGAUUCUCAGAUUGAGAAUGAACUCAGAGAGCUCAUAUCCAGUGGGCAUAGUCUGUCUAUGGCUGUCAAGCUGGUUGCUGAAGGAACAUCGAUGAAAAAAAAGGAAGUUUAUUCAAUUGCAUUAAAGAAAUUUGGGAAGCAUAUAGUAGGAGAGGAAUAAGCACUGGAUAAACAUGAAUUGUGUAGGAGUCCGAGACAGUUAUUUAAGUGCACAAAUCAAAAUUAGCUUUCUUGUCGAGCUAAUUAGAGAUUGGAAUGUGUACCCAUCUGCCAAACUUGGUUGUUGAAACUGAGAUACCUUUUGAAGAAAUGCUUGUAAGUUAUCAGGUGCUGAGAUUUUUUCUGCGGAUGUCAUUCAAACCUCAGUUGGUUGGAAGAUUAUACAAGUUUUUUUUUCCAUGGUUGCAUUUGUCAAGGUAGGGACCUUGUUUUGAAUAAAUGAUAAGAGAAGUCAAGCAAGUUGUGCCGAUUUGUACAAAUUAAUUUUCCUAUUUUGGGUUGUGCUUCCACAAUCUUUGAAUGCUGUAGCGUGGCUAACAUCUUUCCCAGGACCAUCCACCUAUGUAGAGUAUUAUAUAACAUGGUUGUAUCUCAAGUAAGCAACUUAUUUUCAGUUCAGUUUUAGUUCCUUUUUCCACAUUUAUACUUUAAUAAAGUGUUAAAACAUGUUUCAUUUUUUAAUUGAUGAUUCAAAUUACUUAUGUAAGUAUUACAAAUAAAGAUAUAAAAAAUUAUGUUUGUUGUCU